UGUGGCUCAGUGAGUAGGGCGCCAGCCCCAUAUGCUGGAGGUGGCAGGUUCAAACCAGCCCCUGCCA
rnacentral:tRNA from 1 species